rfam:Rhizobium sp. Root1212 contig_9, whole genome shotgun sequence.
AGCUUGGCUAGGGUCGCCCCCGAAAAGCGGUCAUCCAGCCGCCUGCCAAGCGCUACAUCUGGAUAGUG